CUAAGCCAAGCUUCAGUUCAUGUAAACAUCCUACACUCAGCUGUCACACACGAGCUGGCUGGGAGGUGGAUGUUUACGUCAGCUGUCUUGGGGUA
rnacentral:miRNA from 1 species